UGAUACCAUUUAUAUAUCUUCGCUUUCCUAAAAUUGAGCAAAAUAAAACGCAGAAAUACGUAAGAUCGAAUCCAGCGUUAUCAGUUUCUAGGGCGUUGACCCAACAUGUCUUGCAAUUCACUGGUGUGAGUAGGAGAAGGAAAAGUAAUAUAUAAAAAAGUGAAUUAUUGAAAAUACGGCAGAAGCUAUUUGAACUGAGACGAAAUAAUAUGUUUUAUGCAUAGAGGGGGAAAGAAAAGUGUGGGGUCUCGUUGUUCAGCAUCAAAGGUAGAAGAUGGAAAUGGAAUUAAUAUGUCCGAACUGUAAAAUGCCUUUCUUAAGAGGGAAUAAAAUAAAAGACUACAACCAGAUUGGAAACAAGAGAGAAAUAGAAAAGGGAAAACAAAAAAGGUCAUAAAUCGAUGAUAUAAGCGGGUAGGUUGGAAAGAGCGUGGGUGUUGUGACUAGUAAAAUGUUGGACCUGCGUAGUUGACUAAUGGCAGGGACAAGCUGGCAGUGAUCUUGAACAUGGGUCCGCGGUAAAGCUAAGAUCGCAGUUUGCAAGCCUACUGUAUCGUCGACACGCCUCAAUGGCAGCGCUUGCAGCUUCGAUCGAAUUGAAAUGCAUCCGCAACUCGGUUUUAGAUGCAUUCUCCUCCAUAUCAUCCCCAAGAUCGAAAUACACGGGAAGCGCCUUCUUGACGUAUGUUACAACGUCCGUAUACCGUUCGGGAUCAUGAGGGCCUUUGAUGGAGAUACACCUCGUGUGGCCACGGCUGACCUUUUGUUCCAUAUCCACCGACAUGGGAUAUGUAGCCUGCUUAAACAUCCUGAUACUGGCACGCUGAUCGUCGAAGAACACUCCAUGGUUUUGGGAAAACCUGACAUAUGCCCUUGCAUCCUUUUCGUAAACGAACGUGACAAUCCCCAUGUGAUAGCCCGCAACGCGCUCCAUAUUCAUCAGAUGGGCAGCUAAGACCGGUCCUCCGCGUACAGCUUGGAACAGGUGUCUCAAGCAGCAGCUGAGGGGAAGAUUCGCAAUGGCUACUGUUCUAUAACAAUUCCUUUCGGCCUUGGAGGGGUCGAAGAUAAGCCCGUGUUUAAAGAGUCCCAGAGGGUAUUUGGUGCGAGGCUGUGCGUUAAGGGCUUUGGCUUCCUGGGUGGCAUCAUCAAAGGGGGAGGUGGUGGGAAGGGUGUAUGUGACUUCUCCAUCCCACGGCACAGGGGUUGGCCGUCUAGCACAUCUUUCGCUUGCUGGUGGCUGUAUGGUUGGCAGCAAGCGUUUUGAUUCUGUAUAAUAAUCUUGAGACACGUCUGUUGGUGAUCCAAUACCUUCCAAUAGAGCUUUGAUUGUUUCCUUCUGACCUCCAUCGCUAUGGGUGUUCAAAGAAGACGCCGCUUGCAUCUCCAAAUGAGAUUCAAAGGCUCGAAGGUCGUCAAGUGAAUAAUCAUGGAUUGGAGUUGCAGGCUUUUCAGAUGCCGGGCUGACAUCGUCCAAGAGAUAUGGUCUCUGUUCUGGAGGAUGUGGC
rnacentral:sRNA from 1 species